UUCUUCUUCUUCUUCUUCUUCUUAUAUUUUUUUUUCUCAUGUGACGUUGCUCGCUUGAAUUUUCUGUGUACGUCAUUGAAUUUCUAUAACAGGUUCAUGAUAGGCUUGUGGAUAUAAUUGCCAUGGAGAGAGAGAACUCGAGUUUGGAUGGUUAAGGACUUAAGGGUCACUAUAGUUUGUGAGCUGAUCGAUUCCAUCAUGUCUUUUGAUAAUUCCAGCGAGGCAUCUUAAGUCCUUUCAUCUAUGGGAAAUCCUAACCCUGAAAGCGCGCAAUUUGAAGCUGGCUGGAUUUGAAAUUCUGUGCGAAGUUCUCCCUGCUGAAUUGGUGGUGUUGGUUAUUAGUUGAGAAGUAACUUGGGAAUGUAUCUUCGGUUACUUUAUGAUACUAAUUUUAUAAAGGAAAAUAUGAUUAUUUUCCCCUCUAAAAUAUCGGUAAACUUUCAAGUUGCUCA